GGUGCUCACUGUCCAGCCAGCAAGGGAGAGCUCAGGAACAGGCUAGGAGAAUCUCAGCAGGGACAGUUUGUUGAGCCUGAGAUUCAUCUGACUUCUCCAGCAGGGAAUAAAGAGAAACCAGAGGCCAAGGCCAAAUGGCUGCUUUACAGAGAGAAAGAAGUUCAGCUCCAUCUACCAAUUCCCAUCAGUUCUGGGAAACAGGGAACAUCUUGGUUCUGAGGAACCUAGAUGUGGGCCAGGGCUGAAGAAUAGAAGAUGGUGAAAUCCCGUAGAUGUAUUUGCUCAGUCUGCUCAUACCGUCCCAAGAACUUUCGAAAGAAGUCAAAAGCAAAAACGUCAUGCAAGCAGAAGCAAAAGCAAAGGAAGACAUGUCCUCAGUAUAUGUCAACAAGAUGGAUGGAGAUGCUCCUUGAUUCUUCCAUUUUCAAUGCCAUGUUCUCCCCCACGACCAAUGAAAUGGAAAGCCUGGCUCGUUUUAAGCCCAAGACCACCAUAAUCAUCCUUAGUAUGCCAUCUCUGCCCCGGGCUCUCAAAUAAAGUGUCUCUCAUUUCA